rnacentral:lncRNA from 1 species
UAUUUGUCGUGUCAGUUGUACCAGAUGGUGCAUCGGUGACGAUUUAGCCACAAAGACAUGCACAUUCCUUUCUAACCAAAGCUUCCUAAAACCAACAAUGAUGAUCGUUGAUGCUUCUCGGAUUUUAGACCGGCAAUUGUCUCGCAGUGGAGCACCAGUGCACCCUAGCCAAGUUAUCUUGAGAUUGAGAAGGAGCAAGAAGCCCAAGUCUGACUGUAGCUAGAAGCAUAAACCAGAACUGUC